UAGGGGAUCUUCCACAAUGGCGAAAGCCUGAUGGAGCAACGCCGCGUGUGUGAUGAAGGGUUUCGGCUCGUAAACACUGUUGUAAGAGAAGAAUGACAUUGAGAGUAACUGUUCAAUGUGUGACGGUAUCUUACCAGAAAGGAAUGGCUAAAUACGUGCCAG
rnacentral:rRNA from 1 species